UACAGAGGGUGCGAGCGUUGUCCGGAAUCACUGGGCGUAAAGGGCGCGUAGGUGGCGACCCAAGUCGAUGGUGAAAGCUCGCCGCUCAACGGCGAGUCGGCCACCGAUACUGGGUUGCUGGAGCACUGUAGAGGCAGAUGGAAUUCCGGGUGUAGCGGUGGAAUGCGUAGAGAUCCGGAAGAACACCAGUGGCGAAGGCGGCCCGCUGGGCAGUGGCUGACGCUGAGGCGCGACAGCGUGGGGAGCAAACAGG
rnacentral:rRNA from 1 species